GACGAACGCUGGCGGCGUGCUUAACACAUGCAAGUCGAGCGGUAAGGCCCUUUCGGGGGUACACGAGCGGCGAACGGGUGAGUAACACGUGGGUGACCUGCCCUCGGCUCUGGGAUAAGCCUGGGAAACCGGGUCUAAUACUGGAUAUGACUCCAUGACGCAUGUUGUGGGGUGGAAAGCCUUGUGCGGCUGAGGAUGGGCCCGCGGCCUAUCAGCUUGUUGGUGGGGUGAUGGCCUACCAAGGCGACGACGGGUAGCCGGCCUGAGAGGGCGACCGGCCACACUGGGACUGAGACACGGCCCAGACUCCUACGGGAGGCAGCAGUGGGGAAUCUUGCGCAAUGGGCGAAAGCCUGACGCAGCGACGCCGCGUGAGGGAUGACGGCCU
rnacentral:rRNA from 1 species